AGCAGGGUGGCGCAGUGGAAGCGUGCUGGGCCCAUAACCCAGAGGUCAAUGGAUCGAGACCCUUUCCUGCUA
rnacentral:tRNA from 1 species